rnacentral:rRNA from 1 species
AUUGAACGCUGGCGGCAGGCCUAACACAUGCAAGUCGAGCGAGCGGCGGACGGGUGAGUAAUGUCUGGGAAACUGCCUGAUGGAGGGGGAUAACUACUGGAAACGGUAGCUAAUACCGCAUAACAUAAGAUGUGCCCAGAUGGGAUUAGCUAGGAGGUGGGGUAACGGCUCACCUGGGCGACGAUCCUUAGCUGGUCUGAGAGGAUGACCAGCAAGACGGGAACUGUGAACCGGUCCUGACUCCGACGGAGUGCAGCAGUGGGGAAUAUUGGACAUUGGGCGCAAGCCUGAUGCAGCCAUUCCGCGUUUGUGAAGAAGGCCUUCGGGUUGUAAAGCACUUUCAUCGGGGAGGCGUUACCCGCAGAAGAAGCACCGGCUAACUCCGUGCCAGCAGCCGCGGUAAUUC